GUUGACAUUUGGAAUAAAACCCACAACAACUGUUACUCCAUUUGAAAUCGCCUCUGCCUUCACCCAACACCCUAUCUCCGCCGUCGUUCCUCCACCGCCCUCCGCUGCCGUUCCUUCACCGUUCUCCACCGCCGGUAACGAUCGCCUUCCCUGUGUUAUCCAAACAUCUUCACCACUUAAGCAAAACGCUUCUUCACUAAGCUUAAGGAGAAAGAGUUUUUUAUUCAAGUUAUGUAAUCAUAACUUGUAUACUAACAAUGUAAGCUGCUUCAUGGAUAUUCCUCUGGCAAAAGGAGACAUGUCAAAAUUGUGGAGUUUCUCAUUAAAAAUGGUGCUAGAAUUGGUUUCAAAUAUUGAGGAAUUCACUGCGUUGCACUUUGCGGCUCUAAAAGUUUUUUUUAUGCAGUUGUGGACAAUCCUCUUGUAUAUGCAGUCAAGUUUGAUCAUUUGAAUGUCUGUGUUGCUGCUUGAAGUAUUAUGAUUCUACCUGCGUUUAAGAAGUUCACUUGUGUGGAAGUCAUAUCUGUUGCUGAAAUUCAUACCUUAAUGAUCAAUUUGUGAAUGGGCUGGUCGCUGCUUCUGCUUGAGGUUCUCAAGGAUCUCGACUUUGCUAAUUGCAAAUUUGGAGUUGGAGUAUCUUGCCAAUGGGUGUAGAUCAAUUCAGAAGCUCAAACUUUGUCGCAAUGAAUUCAGGUUUGUAGUUUUGCGUAAAGUUGUGCAGCGUCACUGGAUUAAAGUUCUUGUACGUACAUACAUAUCAGAAUGUAUAUAUUGAUAAAAAUAUAUUGGUAAACUUGUGUAAAGCUGUGCAGCUUCACUGGAUUAAAGUUGUGCAGAAUGUAUAUAUUGGUAUAUUAGGCACAUUAAAACAUACUAUAAUUGGAUAUCGCUAAUUUUUUCCAUGUAGUGAUGAAGUUGUGGCAGCAUUUCUAGAAAGCUCUGGAGAGUUAUUGUUGGAACUUUUUCUGAUAAUAUGCCAAAAGUAUCUUUAACCCGAAUCAACCCUCUCUUUUAUUUUUCCUUUGAUGCUUGUGGCCAAAUCAUUAAAUUUGCUAGGUCGAACCCUAUCCUGCCUUGUCACUCGCCAGAUGUUCAAGAAAGUUGUUAACCUUAGAUUUAUCCUGGUGUAGCGAAAUUAGUAAUGAGGGUCUAUGGUUGAUUGUUGAUAGCUGCUCGUCGCUGAAGUUGCUCAAAAUCUUUGGUUGUAUACAGGUGUGAGACAUAAAUCAAGUAUCUGCCAAGAUCGUUUGUCAGAAGUACUUGCAACAGGCAUUCUAAUCAAAUUCAUACCAUAAAUGAUCAGUUUAUGAACGGGCUAGUCGAUGAUUCUGCUUGUGGUAAAUAGAUGCUUUUCAUAUGGCAAUAUAAGUAUUAGAUGUUCAUACACUGGUUGUGUAGGUAUGAAAAUGAGCGUUGAAGGUUGCCUUUUGUUGCUUAAAUGGCCUCUAGAAUCAAAACAAGUAGUAUAACAAAGUCAGGGGUUACCUUAUAUGUUGUCUGUUAUCUACUAUGUAUGAAUUUAGUGUUGCAUACUCUAAUUGUACAAAUGCUACAUGUAAAAAAGAGCACUGAAAUUUUGGCCACCUAUAGAUGCUGCAUGACACGAAUCGUGUAUUGAUUCACUGAAAAAGUUUCUUAUCUUGUUA